GUAAAAAAUGGUAAAAAAGAUAAGUCUGCGUUCGGGACGCAGAGACCGGAGGUUCAAAUCCUCUCAUCCCGACCA
rnacentral:tRNA from 1 species